GACGAACGCUGGCGGCGUGCCUAAUACAUGCAAGUAGAACGCUGAAGGAGGAGCUUGCUUCUCUGGAUGAGUUGCGAACGGGUGAGUAACGCGUAGGUAACCUGCCUGGUAGCGGGGGAUAACUAUUGGAAACGAUAGCUAAUACCGCAUAAGAGUAGAUGUUGCAUGACAUUUGCUUAAAAGGUGCAAUUGCAUCACUACCAGAUGGACCUGCGUUGUAUUAGCUAGUUGGUGGGGUAACGGCUCACCAAGGCGACGAUACAUAGCCGACCUGAGAGGGUGAUCGGCCACACUGGGACUGAGACACGGCCCAGACUCCUACGGGAGGCAGCAGUAGGGAAUCUUCGGCAAUGGACGGAAGUCUGACCGAGCAACGCCGCGUGAGUGAAGAAGGGUUUCGGAUCGUAAAGCUCUGUUGUAAGAGAAGAACGAGUGUGAGAGUGGAAAGUUCACACUGUGACGGUAUCUUACCAGAAAGGGACGGCUAACUACGUG
rnacentral:rRNA from 1 species